CAAUGACCUUCAUACAAACAACUUCCUACCAGCCAUGAAUGGCAUGCUCAGGAGAGGAAUUACCUUGCCUUCCAUGCUAAAUGUCAAGUGGACCAAAGUCAACACUGCCCUUUUCCAGGACGGUCUAGUGAUUUCAAUGUGACCAAUCAAAUUAGCAGCACCUUGAAGAGGCAGAAUGUUAAAAGAGUUCAUCAAAUGUUCACUUCAAACUGAUUGGAUUAUACGUUCUAAUGCUCUGGGAUUUAUCAUAUUUCAACUGCCAAACUUCAGGGUGAUGGUUGUUAAUUCAGUUUGUUGUAGGUAGCCAAUUUCUUGUAUAUCCUGUAAUAAAGGGCUCACAUGACCCUCUAAGUGUGUAAAAGCUGAGAGCAUCACCUCUUGGUAGGAGGGACACCAAUAUGCAGGAAUUAUAGAAUUGUAGA